UACGUAGGGUCCGAGCGUUGUCCGGAAUUAUUGGGCGUAAAGAGCUCGUAGGCGGUCUGUCGCGUCGGCUGUGAAAACACGGGGCUCAACUCCGUGCCUGCAGUCGAUACGGGCAGACUAGAGUUCGGUAGGGGAGACUGGAAUUCCUGGUGUAGCGGUGAAAUGCGCAGAUAUCAGGAGGAACACCGGUGGCGAAGGCGGGUCUCUGGGCCGAAACUGACGCUGAGGAGUGAAAGCGUGGGGAGCGAACAGG
rnacentral:rRNA from 1 species